CGCGAAUUCGGCGAUGCCGACCGCUGCGCUCAGGAUGAGAAACAACAGGAUCAGUUCGCCGAGGUUCGAUCGCCACUGAUUUGGCAGCGUCAUCAUGACGAACACAGCCAUGCACGCGACGAUAUAUGUGUCGAGGAUAUAGCCGGAUGACGUGCUCUGGCCGCUCACCGAGAGCAUGAGAAGCAAGCCGCAAAUGCCGGCCAGAAAAACGAUAAUCGCGCGAAGGAUACCGACAUCCUGUGCGCUCAGCUCG
rnacentral:misc_RNA from 1 species